rnacentral:rRNA from 1 species
UACAGAGGUCUCAAGCGUUGUUCGGAUUCAUUGGGCGUAAAGGGUGCGUAGGCGGCGCGGUAAGUCGGGUGUGAAAUCUCGGAGCUUAACUCCGAAACUGCAUUCGAUACUGCCGUGCUUGAGGACUGGAGAGGAGACUGGAAUUUACGGUGUAGCGGUGAAAUGCGUAGAUAUCGUAAGGAAGACCAGUGGCGAAGGCGGGUCUCUGGGCCGAAAUUGACGCUGAGGAGCGAAAGCGUGGGGAGCAAACAGG